AUGAUCAAAGAUAUCGGUCUGUUCAAUUUGGAAUCCAUAGGAAGCACUGAAGUUGAAAUGUUCGACUACUUGACACUUACAAGAAGGAAGGGUCCUCUCCAGGGACUGGAUGAAUGUGGUAUAUUUAGCAUAUUCCUUCCUGGGAGGGAGGUUCCAGAUUGGUUCUGCUACAAGUCGAGCAUGGGUAACUCUGAGCUGUCUAUAACUAUACCUCCACAUCUUAAUUUGAAGAUCCGAGGCCUAAAUGCGUGUGUUGUGUAUGCACAUGAUGAGGUUGAUGAUGAUAAGGGAAGGGGAUUUUACCGCGCUCCCAUUCUUAACAUCAGUAAUGAGACCAAGGGUCUUAAGUGGACCUAUGUGCCAGUCACAAUAGGGUUUUCAAAAGAGAAGGAACAUAUGUUAUGGCUUAGUCAUUGGCGAUUCGCAAACGAUGAAUUGGAGGGAGGGGAUGAAAUACGUGUUUCGGUUAGAGUAGAUGAAGAUGAUAUCUUGAUAAAGGAAUUUGGAAUCCAGCUUGUGUACGAGCAGAAUAAUAAUGAGGGUACUGUAACUGAAGAUAGAACCACAAUGUUCCAGCAUGAAACAACUACACCUUCGAACCAGAAUCAUGUCGUUGCUGGAGAUGUGUCAGCAUCAGCAUCAAGGGGCGAGAUACACGCAAGGGAUUUACUGAUCACCUCUACACUCUUUGGAGGGGCAGGGAUCCACACUUUUAGAGAUGAUGACGAAAUCGAGAGAGGAGCAAAUAUUUCAGCAGAGCUUCAAAAAGCAAUACAAGAGUCUCGAGUAUCCAUCAUUGUCUUCUCCAAGGACUACGCUUCCUCGAGAUGGUGCCUGGAUGAACUAGUGACGAUCAUGGACCGUAGAGAAACUAAUGAGCACAUGGUUAUGCCGAUUUUCUAUGAUGUGGAUCCAUCCCAUGUCAGGAACCAGACAGGAAUUUUUGAAGAAGCAUUUUCCAGACACCAACAGCGCUUCAACAAGGAGAUGGACAAGGUGGAGAAGUGGAGAAAAGCUCUCAGAGAUGUUGCAGAUUUGGGAGGGAUGGUUUUAGGAGAUCGGUACGAGUCGCAGUUUAUCCAAGAUAUAGUUGAAGUUAUUGGAAAUAAACUGGAUCACACAUGGAAUAGGAGAUUACGAGUCGAUCCCUAUGUAGUUGGAAUGGAUUAUCGUGUGAAAGGCCUAAACAUGUGGUUAGAAGAUGGAUCGAGUGAUGUUGGAGUAGCUGCAGUCUAUGGGAUGGGGGGAAUUGGCAAGGCCACCAUUGCCAAGACUGCUUAUAACCAGAAUUUCAAUAAAUUUCAAGGUAGCAGCUUUCUUGCAGAUAUUAGAGCAACUUCAAAACUUCACAAUGGUUUGGUUCACUUGCAAAGGAACCUUCUUUCAGAUCUCCGAAAGGGGAAAGCAAAGAAAAUAUACAGCUUGGAUGAAGGAAUAACAAAGAUCGAACAGGCGAUACGUUGCAAAAGAGUUCUUAUUGCUCUUGAUGAUGUGGACAACUUGGAACAAUUCAAUGCAAUUCUUGGAAUGCGAGAAUGGCUUCAUCCAGGAAGUAAAUAAUCCUAACAACUAGACAUGAACAUUUGUUAAAGGCUCAUGAGAAUUGCGCAAUGUUUAAGGUGGAAGGGUUGGAUGAGUAUGAAUCACUUGAGCUUUUCAGUUGGCAUGCCUUUAGACAACCCCAUCCUGGCGAAGGUUACAUGGAUCUUUCAAGACCUGUAGUGCAAUACUGUGGAGGGGUUCCAUUAGCUCUUCAAGUUCUAGGAUCUUCUCUCUUUGGAAAAGCUGCAGAUGUAUGGAAAAAUGCAUUACAGAACUUGGAUGUGAUUACUGAAGGAAAAAUUCAAAAGAUUCUCAGAAUAAGCUUUGAUUCUCUGCAAGAUCAUGACAAACGUCUGUUCCUCCAUAUAGCCUGUUUCUUCAUAGGAAGACACAAGGAUUUUUCAAUUACAGUCCUUGAUGAAUGUGGGUUUGCCACAAACAUUGGAAUUCAAAAUCUGGUUGACAGAUGUCUGCUGAUAAUUCAUGGAAACAAGUUAACCAUGCACCAAUUACUUCAAGACAUGGGAAGGGGAAUUAUUCGCGAAGAAUCGCCUGAGGAUCCUGGAAAACGUACUAGAGUGUGGAAUAAAGAUGCCUCUAAUGUUUUGAGAAAAUUAACCGGUACAGCAACUAUUAAGGGCCUCAUGCUCAACAUUCCUAUGUUAAUAAAAGAUGAGUCUUCUAAGAUAAUAUCCAGUGGAAGUAACAGAAAAAGAUUCCAUGUUGAAGAUUAUGAUGGAAACUGUUCAAGCAGCCGACGUCGGCUUGGUUUCUUCUCCUGGCAGUCAAUUAGUUUUUCUUCAACAAACUCAUUUCCUGUAUCAAAUGAGAUAGGUUUCAAAACAGAGGCAUUUAGAAGGAUGCACAAUCUUGAACUCCUGCUGCUUGAUAAUGUAAAAAUCAGUGGAGGCUAUGAAGAUUUCCCAAAAAAUUUAAUAUGGUUGUCUUGGCGAGGAUUCGCUUUAAAGUCUAUACCAACCAAUUUUUACUUGGAAAAUCUAAUUGCUCUUGACUUGCGGAAUAGCAGCCUCCAACAUGUUUGGAAGGGAACUAGGUUCCUUCCAAGACUGAAAAUCUUAAAUCUCAGUCAUUCACAUGGCCUUGUGACAACCCCUGACUUGUCAGGAUCCCCUAACCUCGAGAGAUUAAUUCUUAAAGAUUGCAUAAAUUUGAAGGAGGUGGAUGAAUCCAUUGGAGAUUUGGAGAAACUUGUUUUCUUGAAUCUAAAAGAUUGCAAAAAUCUCAUGAAGCUUCCAAUAAGAAUUAGUAUGCUGCGAUCUCUCCAGAAACUUAUUCUCUCUGGUUGCUCAAAUCUUGUGCUGCCUGCCAGUAUGAUCGUUAAAAAUCAGUCAGACUCUACACCUAGUGAGAUGAAGAAACUCAGUCUGUGGCAAUCAAUGCGAUCAUGGGUAUUGCCAAGAAAAAAUCUCCAACUUACCAGUGCAAGUUUGCCACAAUUUUUAAAAAGCUUAGAUAUGGCGUACUGCAAUCUGUCAGAAAUUCCCAAUGAUCUUCCUAGUAGCCUAUCCUCAUUGGAGCGUUUGAAUCUAGAUGGAAACCCAUUUUUCAGCCUACCAGUAAACUUGAAUGGUCUUAGUAAGCUCCAGAGACUUUCGUUGGAUAUGUGCCCAAACCUCGAAAUGAUUCCCGAGCUCCCACCAAGUGUAGAGGCUUUGAUCGCAACUAGAUACUUGCGGUUAUUGCAUGCGAGAAUGUAG